rnacentral:rRNA from 1 species
CUACGGGGUGCUCCAGUGGGGAAUAUUGGACAAUGGGCGCAAGCCUGAUCCAGCAAUGCCGCGUGAGUGAAGACGGCCUUAGGGUUGUAAAACUCUUUCGCUAGGGAAGAUAAUGACUGUACCUAGUAAAGAAGUCCCGGCUAACUCCGUGCCAGCAGCCGCGGUAAUACGGAGGGGACUAGCGUUGUUCGGAAUUACUGGGCGUAAAGAGUUCGUAGGCGGACUGACAAGUUAGAGGUGAAAUCCCAGGGCUCAACCCUGGAACUGCCUUUAAAACUGUCAGUCUAGAGACCGGAAGAGGUUAGGGGAAUACCUAGUGUAGAGGUGAAAUUCGUAGAUAUUAGGUGGAACACCAGUGGCGAAGGCGCCUAACUGGUCCAGUACUGACGCUGAGGAACGAAAGCGUGGGGAGCAAACAGGAUUAGAUACCCUAGUAGUC